GAAAAUUGUCAAAACAGAGGGAGAGUCUUCAACAGAAAUCAGACUCUAAUUGAGGAGAGAAUACCAACAAAGCAAUGCACUGAUUGUGUUGUGUACUAGUGCUAGUCUGCUAAGUCUAGGAACUUAGUUUUUUUGUAUGUUUUAUAAUAUUUUAUUUCAUUGUUUUAGACAAAAACAUUUUACGAUGUAUUUUCCUUUUCAUAUUUGAUACUCGUCAUCAUUUGUUACACUAUGUUGAUAUACACAUAGAUCUAGAUCUCCGACAGCAGUUUUAUCUGUGAGAGGUGGGGAAAGGUGUAUUUUAUAUAUUUCAGAAGUUAUUCUAAGAUAGCGUACAGUAUUUUAAAAGUUGAUGUGGAUCUGUGUUCCAUAUGGGCAAUACAACGAGAAGAAAAGAAAGUUAAGAGGUGUGAAAACUGAUACCACCAAAUUUUAUGAAGUUUAUUAUGUUUUAUCUCUGACAAGUUUUAUUGGUCCAUGCAUAAAGAUUAAAAAUAUAU
rnacentral:misc_RNA from 1 species